AGUGAACGCUGGCGGUAGGCCUAACACAUGCAAGUCGAACGGCAGCACAGUAAGAGCUUGCUCUUACGGGUGGCGAGUGGCGGACGGGUGAGGAAUACAUCGGAAUCUACUUUUUCGUGGGGGAUAACGUAGGGAAACUUACGCUAAUAUCGCAUACGACCUACGGGUGAAAGCAGGGGAUCAUCGGACCUUGCGCGAUUGAAUGAGCCGAUGUCGGAUUAGCUAGUUGGCGGGGUAAAGGCCCACCAAGGCGACGAUCCGUAGCUGGUCUGAGAGGAUGAUCAGCCACACUGGAACUGAGACACGGUCCAGACUCCUACGGGAGGCAGCAGUGGGGAAUAUUGGACAAUGGGCGCAAGCCUGAUCCAGCCAUACCGCGUGGGUGAAGAAGGCCUUCGGGUUGUAAAGCCCUUUUGUUGGGAAAGAAAAGCAGCAGGUUAAUACCCCGCUGUUCUGACGGUACCCAAAGAAUAAGCACCGGCUAACUUCGUG
rnacentral:rRNA from 1 species